AUACGGAGGAUCCGAGCGUUAUCCGGAUUUAUUGGGUUUAAAGGGUGCGCAGGCGGCCAUUUAAGUCAGCGGUUAAAUCGUGGGGCUCAACCCCAUUCUGCCGUUGAUACUGGGUGGCUUGAUUGCGGUCGAGGUUGGCGGAAUUCGUUGUGUAGCGGUGAAAUGCAUAGAUAUGACGAAGAACACCGAUUGCGUAGGUAGCUGACCAGACCGCAAAUGACGCUCAUGCACGAAAGUGCGGGGAUCGAACAGGAUUAGAUACCCUGGUAGUCCGCACAGUAAACGAUGAAUACUUGUUUUCGGCGAUAUAAUGUCGGAGGCAAAGCGAAAGCGAUAAGUAUUCCACCUGGGGAGUACGCCGGCAACGGUGAAACUCAAAUGAAUUGACGGGG
rnacentral:rRNA from 1 species